rnacentral:rRNA from 1 species
AUGCAAGUUAGAGUCCAAAACAAGGGCAAAAGUGUUUGGAAAAGUAGAUACGUUGGAUACGUAUCAGUCAUUCACACAUUGAUUUCCCCAGCACAGUCGGCCUUCCUACAAACCAAGUGCAUUCAUGACAGUUUUCUGUACAUCCAAAAUUGCGUCAAACCACUUCACAGAAAGAAGACUCCGGCCCUACUACUCAAACUAGACAUCACCAAAGCCUUCGACAAUGUAUCCUGGGAAUACAUCCUUGAGCUUAUGCAGAGGCUAGGAUUUAGUGCUCGGUGGAGAGACUGGAUCGCUCUCCUACUCUCCACCUCAUCUUCUUCAUUCCUCCUAAACGGCUCGUCGGGCUGGAAGAUUACGCAUCGUCGAGGACUCUUGCAGGGCGACCCACUAUCGUCUUUCCUGUUCAUCUUGGCAAUUGAUCCCCUACAUCACCUCUUAGAGGAGGCCACGCAUCGACAAAUUAUUGCUCCACUGCCCGGCUGUGAGCUCAAACUUAGAACCAGCCUAUACGCCGACGAUGUAGUCAUAUUUUCAAACCCAAUACAACAUGAGAUUGACGCGCUCCUAGACAUCCUCCAGGGCUUUGGUGAAUCCGAGGGCCUCCAUAUAAACCCCUCAAAGUCAUCGGCUCUACCCAUUAGAUGCGACAACGUCGACCUCAUGGCCAUGCCACCAUGCAGCGACGAGGACAUGGCCCUGUUUGCGGCUGCAACGACAGUAACGAUAGGAGAUGGCUCGACGGCUCUCUUCUGGCACUCUCGCUGGAUUGGAACAUGCACCCUCGCCUCAGCAUACCUGUGA